AUCAACUUUCGAUUGGUAGGAUAGAGGCCUACCAUGGUGGUAACGGGUAACGGGGUGUUAGGGCACGACACCGGAGAGGGAGCCUGAGAAACGGCUACCACAUCCAAGGAUGGCAGCAGGCGCGCAAAUUACCCAAUCCCGACACGGGGAGGUAGUGACAAUAAAUAACAAUACGGGGUUCUUUAGGAUCUCGUAAUUGGAAUGAGUACAAUUUAAAUCUCUUAACGAGGAACAAUUGGAGGGCAAGUCUGGUGCCAGCAGCCGCGGUAAUUCCAGCUCCAAUAGCGUAUAUUAAAGUUGUUGCAGUUAAAAAGCUCGUAGUUGAAUUUCGGGGUUAGUAGGUUGGUCAUGCCUCUGGUAUGUACUGAUCUCACUGAUUCCUCCUUCCUUAUGAACCGUAAUGCCAUUAAUUUGGUGUUGCGGGGAAUUUGGACUGUUACUUUGAAAAAAUUAGAGUGUUUAAAGCAGGCUAACGCUUGAAUACAUUAGCAUGGAAUAAUGAAAUAGGACGUUCGAUCUUAUUUUGUUGGUUUCUAGGAUUGACGUAAUGAUCAAUAGGGAUAGUUGGGGGCAUUAGUAUUCAAUUGUCAGAGGUGAAAUUCUUGGAUUUAUUGAAGACUAACUACUGCGAAAGCAUUUGCCAAGGAUGUUUUCAUUAAUCAAGAACGAAAGUUAGGGGAUCGAAGACGAUCAGAUACCGUCGUAGUCUUAACCAUAAACUAUGCCGACUAGGGAUCGGAUGAUGUUAAUUUUUUAAUGACUCAUUCGGCGCCUUACGGGAAACCAAAGUGUUUGGGUUC
rnacentral:rRNA from 1 species